rnacentral:rRNA from 1 species
UACAGAGGUCUCAAGCGUUGUUCGGAUUCAUUGGGCGUAAAGGGUGCGUAGGCGGCGAGGUAAGUCAGAUGUGAAAUCCCGGGGCUUAACCCCGGAACUGCAUUUGAUACUGCUUUGCUUGAGGACUGGAGAGGAGAUCGGAAUUCACGGUGUAGCAGUGAAAUGCGUAGAUAUCGUGAGGAAGGCCAGUGGCGAAGGCGGAUCUCUGGGACGGUACUGACGCUGAGACGCGAAAGCGUGGGGAGCGAACAGG